rnacentral:lncRNA from 11 species
GGAAAGGCCUGUGUGUGUGUGUGCUUGAACAUAAGAAAUGAAAACAGAAAAGGUGACCUUCAAGAAAACACACACACACAGAAGUCAGAAAAAAUCAGUUUCUUCAAGACAGAAUUCAGGAUCAGUUUAAUCCAUAUUAUAGUCCCAAAGGACCUGCUAACCUUACAGAAACAAUAUGUUUGGGAAGUUUUUCCCCCCAACCACUAUGCAGUGUGACUUCCACUGCACUCGCAGUUUUCAUCAUCUGCAUGAUUGCACCUGUUUUAACUCCUGUAAACGCAGAUAAGAAAUUGCUCACAUAGGGUCAUUUGAACUGACAAUCUUGGGAAUGAGAAGAACCAUUCUGAACAGCAGGCCUGUCCUAGGACUUCUUAUGCCAGGGAAUCCGUGCCAAAUAUCUCCCACACCCUGGGACUUUCCACAACUCUAAGUAUGUGGCUGCCUCAGAAUGGAUGAGCUUAAAUAUAUCUGACAUUAGCUGUGAUUCCCAAAAGCACAUGAAUGUAUAGACAUAAUGGUAGGGCCGUGCCAUUUUUGUUUCCCUCUGUCUCUUCAGAUUUGCCAGACCAAGGAAAUGUAAACAGUGGUUUGUGGCUUGGCAAAGGGUACCUCUGAAGUGAAAAUGGAAAGCAAAAAUCCAGUGGAGGUGCAAAUCUUUGAAAAGUUACUUUCAUGAAACACAAUUCCAGAAAUUCCAGGAAGCAGAGUUCUGGGUGUUAUAGUCAGAAGAAGUAGCUUCAGAACACUAGAAAUGUGUGCACUUAUCUACUGAGUUAGUGUGAACUUGAUUGUUCUAGAUUGCAG